CAGCAGCUCAAGUGGUGGUCACGUUUAUUGGGCUUAAAGCGUCCGUAGUCUGUCUUGCAAGUCCUCUGUGAAAUCCUGCAGCUUAACUGUAGGAAGUGCAGAGGAUACUACAAGGCUUGAGGCCGGGAGGGGAGUGGGGUAUUCCGUGGGUACCGGUGAAAUGGUAUAAUCCAUGGAAGACCACCUGUGGCGAAGGCGCCACUCUAGAACGGGCCUGACGAUGAGGGACGAAAGCCAGGGGAGCGAACCGGAUUAGAUACCCGAGUAGUCC
rnacentral:rRNA from 1 species